rnacentral:sRNA from 1 species
GCAGUGUUCAAGUGCCCUGAAGUUUAACCUAGCCUUUUUACCAUUGAACCAGCUUAUCGAAUAGCGCAUGUUUCGCGGCCAGAGCGAACUUGUCGAGUGUACGAUUUGCUGGUGUUUCAAAGAGGAUCCGUACUUUGUGCUCCUGAGGUGGGCGUUUACCGUGGUCCACGCCAAGAGGAACAUGGGCUUCCUUAUCUGCAACAAGUAACGGUGGGGUAUCUCCGUCCUUAUAUCCUUACUCUGCAACCACUACUAAAAAUACUGCGCGCAUGUAGGAACCGGACAAAAUGCAAAUCGACCCAAUCGCUGAGAAGUAUAACACAUGCUGCUCAU